GACGAACGCUGGCGGCGUGCUUAACACAUGCAAGUCGAACGAAGAGCGAUGGAAGCUUGCUUCUAUCAAUCUUAGUGGCGAACGGGUGAGUAACGCGUAAUCAACCUGCCCUUCAGAGGGGGACAACAGUUGGAAACGACUGCUAAUACCGCAUACGAUCUAAUCUCGGCAUCGAGGAUAGAUGAAAGGUGGCCUCUACAUGUAAGCUAUCACUGAAGGAGGGGAUUGCGUCUGAUUAGCUAGUUGGAGGGGUAACGGCCCACCAAGGCGAUGAUCAGUAGCCGGUCUGAGAGGAUGAACGGCCACAUUGGGACUGAGACACGGCCCAGACUCCUACGGGAGGCAGCAGUGGGGAAUCUUCCGCAAUGGACGAAAGUCUGACGGAGCAACGCCGCGUGAGCGAUGACGGCCUUCGGGUUGUAAAGCUCUGUUAAUCGGGACGAAAGGCCUUCUUGCGAAUUGUGAGAAGGAUUGACGGUACCGGAAUAGAAAGCCACGGCUAACUACGUG
rnacentral:rRNA from 1 species